rnacentral:rRNA from 1 species
GACGAACGCUGGCGGCGUGCCUAAUACAUGCAAGUAGGGCGCAGUUGCGAACGGGUGAGUAACGCGUUGGUAACUACCUAUUAGAGGGGGAUAAAUAAUGGAAACGAUAGCUAAUACAGCAUACUCGUAGAUGGACCUGCUUUGUAUUAGCUAGUAGGUAGGGUAAUGGACUACCCAGGCAACGAUACAUAGCCGAACCGAGAGGGGGUACGGGCACACCGGGACUGAGACACGGGUCCGACGCCUUCGGGAAGGCGCAGUAGGGAAUCUUCGGCAAUGGGGGGAACCCUGAACGAGCAACGGCGGGGGAGUGAAGAAGGGUUUCGGAUCGUAAAGCUCCGUUGUUAAGGAAGCGGUACUUAACCAGAAAGCGACGGCUAACUACGUGCCAGCAGCCGCGGUAAUAC